UAAGUAAGUGGUGGAAAUUAAACCAAAUGGGAUAUCUUUAGUAAUUGCGAAUGAACAAGGAUAUGCUUAGCUUGACAAAUGGAGCUAUUGGCUUUGAAUUGUAUUGUGGAAAUGUAUUACCAACAGAGGUGCAGGUGCCAGCCUAUUGAAAUAAAGCGUCAAUGAGGGUGAGAAUCCUGUUUGUCAUGUGCAGCCCUUUGUGCACGGUGUAUAUUUGCUGAGUCACACUCCUUGGCAUUGGAAUGCAAAGUGGGUGGUAAGUUUCAUGUAAAGGUAAACAUGCAAUUGAGACUGAUAGCACACAAGUACCUUGAGGGAAAUAUGAAAAGGACUUUGAAAAGAGAAUUAAAUGAGUUUGUAUUUGCUGAACACAAAGUAAACAGACUUGAUUUGCUUGGUGGGAGUGUUGCACUUGCUUGACAAGAGCUUUGGGCUGUGGGUGUAAUGAUUCUUUCUUUGCAUGCCAGUUUCUAUUUGUACAUCUGAUUACCUUUGCACAUGAAUGAUAAGUCUCCUGUGGGGGGUGGAUUGCAUGUGCAUGUAAUGAUUUGUGUUUUGAUAAAUGUGUCUGGUGUAUGUGUGUGUUCCUGUGCUUGGGGGUGCUUCCUUCCUUGGACUUACAAGCCCUGACACACACAUGCUGGCAAAAUGCUUCUGCUUGACCCG
rnacentral:rRNA from 1 species